CACGUAGGGCGCAAGCGUUGUCCGGAAUUAUUGGGCGUAAAGAGCUCGUAGGCGGUCUGUUGCGUCCGCUGUGAAAACUCGGGGCUUAACCCCGGGCGUGCAGUGGAUACGGGCCGGCUGGAGGCAGGCAGGGGAGAAUGGAAUUCCCGGUGUAGCGGUGAAAUGCGCAGAUAUCGGGAGGAACACCUGUGGCGAAAGCGGCGCACUGGACCAUAACUGACGCUGAGGCGCGAAAGCUAGGGGAGCAAACAG
rnacentral:rRNA from 1 species